rnacentral:rRNA from 1 species
CCUACGGGUGGCAGCAGUAGGGAAUAUUGCUCAAUGGGGGAAACCCUGAUGCAGCAACGCCGCGUGAGUGAUGAAGUUUUUCGGUUUGUAAACUCCUUUUAUUAGAGAAGAUAAUGACGGUAUCUAACGAAUAAGCACCGGCUAACUACGUGCCAGCAGCCGCGGUAAUACGGAGGGGGCAAGCGUUACUCGGAAUCACUGGGCGUAAAGAGCGCGUAGGCGGGAUAGCAAGUCAGAUGUGAAAGCCUAUGGCUUAACCAUAGGACUGCAUUUGAAACUGUGAUUCUAGAGUAUGGGAGAGGUAAGUGGAAUUCCUGGUGUAGCGGUAAAAUCCGUAGAGAUCAAGAGGAAUACUCAUUGCGAAGGCGGCCUGCUGGAACGUAACUGACGCUGAUGCGCGAAAGCGUGGGGAGCAAACAGGAUUAGAUACCCUUGUAGUC